rnacentral:sRNA from 1 species
CCACUGACCCCCCAGAAUACAACUACCUGUACCUGCUCCCUGCCGGCACCUUUGUUGGUGGAUAUUUAGCUGCCCUCUACAGUGGUUAUAACAUUGAACAGAUCAUGUACCUAGGCUCGGGUUUGUGCUGUGUCGGUGCCUUGGCUGGCCUCUCCACCCAGGGAACAGCGCGUCUUGGCAAUGCAUUGGGCAUGAUUGGGGUUGCUGGAGGACUGGCAGCCACCCUCGGAGUCCUAAAACCGGGCCCAGAAUUACUAGCUCAGAUGUCUGGAGCGAUGGCUUUGGGUGGUACCAUUGGUAAGCACUUGUGGGCUUCUGCCUUUAUGUGAACUCCAGUUUCUCAAUAUAUAUUUCUAAGGUCCAUAUUGAUGAAAUAAUUAAAUUGUGUUCAUGGAAAUUGCUUCAGUUAAUAUUAUUUUGGUGAAAAUUCAUUCCAGUUGGUGUAAUUCUCAUUCAAAUACAUUUUAAAACACUGAGUAAAUGCAUCAACUGAGUCAAAAUAUCCUAUACUCAAUUCUUAUCUUCCUUACUGACUGUGUCCCGUUAGCUGAUAAUGGAAUGGGGGAUUGGAAUCCUUAUGUAUGUACUAUACAUAAGCUAACUUUUGUUCUGCUGGGUAUAAAUAACGGCCAAAGAUUCUGCUUCAUAGACCUGUUAAAAAUG